GGAACCUCACAAAGAAUGGUGCAGUAUCCUGAAGUUAGCAAGAACCAGGAAGAUAUUAUUGGUCUAGGCCUGAACUAAUUGACAGAGAAUAUGGUGUAGCUAAAUGGAGAAUGCUGCCUGGAGAGCCAGAAAGCCAAACCACAAUGACUCAGCUGGGAUGAAGCUGGGGAAUAAAACCAGCACUCUCACGCUCCCUUACCUCCUCCAUGGAACUUCUGUUGUCAUCCAGUGGCUGAAAUCAACUGGAAGCCUACAGGGAAAGACCUGCCUCCUGGGACACAGAGCAGCAAGAAGGAACACAUUUGCUGAAAACUUUCCAAAUUUUUUCGUUACUGCUGCACCAUCACUAGCUGUUGAUAUCGAUGGAAUUCCUGACCAGUAACAUUUCCAUGAAGAUCAUUACAAUUUAUUUCUUGAAAUUCUGGGAAGGCAUGGAAACAUCACAUUGCAGCAGAUGCUGGGGAUGCAGCAAUGAACAAGACAGGCCAGAUCCCUACUCUCAGAUAAACACAAUGAUCCAGGUCAGUAGGCAUUUGGUAGGAAUCUGCAUCAAACUGUUGGGCAAUGGUAGACAGCAACAUUGACGUCUGUAAAUUUACACUUGGAUUCUUAGUUUCUGGUUGGCUGCAUCCUUCUUCUGAAGGCCACUGCUCUUUUCAGAAGACCUCCCUAGAUGGCUAAGCUCUCUGGGUUGCAACAGUUGCUCUUUUUCCUUGAGCCUUAGGUUAGGGAGUUGGGAGGAAGUAAUGGCUUCCCCCACUGCUAGCUCCAGGGUGCUACACUUUCUCUUUUCUAGUUUCCCUAAUCUGGCUUACACCAUUAUAGAUAGACCCUUUAUUAAAAUAUCCUCAAUUUAUCCAUAU
rnacentral:lncRNA from 1 species